GCCCGUGUGAUGGAACCGGUAUACAUACUUGUCUCAGACACAAGGUUGUGGGAGUUCGAAUCUCCCCACGGGUA
rnacentral:tRNA from 1 species